rnacentral:snoRNA from 1 species
AACAUCAUAAUUAUAUCGCGAAUGUACUACUAGUAUAUGCAGUUUUCUUAAAAUUGCAGGGAAUGACUAAAAGCCCACGUUUUUCCCACUUUUAGUAGUACUGAAGCGUAGAUAGAUUGAACGUUUGCUGGGCGCCUGRUGUUGAUCAUUUCUGAAAUGAGAUAUUGGGAAUCAGCUGUAUCUACAUUU